AUGGCAAGGACGCCGGCCUCGGACGACGACGACGAUGGCCCGCCCACCUACACCGUGGCACGCGGGACUCGCCGUGACCCCCGGCUCAAGGACCUCGGCAUCUCCUGCAUGCUCAACACGGAGGUGGCCGCGCUCCUCGCCGUCAUUCGCCGCCGUCCGGACCCCUACGCUUACCUCCCUCCGGCGGUCGCCGCUGCCGAAGAGGCCGUGUUCGCAGGCCUCAUCCAGUCCCUCAAGAGCCUCCGUGCCCUCCUCUUCCAGCCCCGCCACGGCGCGUGGCGCUGCUCCGACCCGUCCAUGUACCUGUCGCCGUUCCUCGACGUCGUGCAGAGCGAGGAGGUCCCGCCGGCGGCCACCGGCGUCGCCCUGUCGUCCGUGCUGAAGAUCCUGCGGAUCGACGUGUUCGACGAGUGCUCGCCGGGCGCCCGGGACGCGAUACAGGCCAUCCUGACCGCGGUCACCAACUGCCGCAUAGAGCGCAUCGCGGACGCCGGCGCCGAGGAGGCCGUGCUCCUCCGCGUGCUGCAGGUGCUCGCCGCGCUCCUCCGCGCCCGCGCCGCGCCCCUCCUUUCGGACAGCGCCGUGUGCACCGCGGUCAACACGUGCUUCCAAGUGGUGCAGCACGCCGCCAGCAGCCGCGGCAGCGAGCUCCUGCAGCGCACGGCUCGGCACUGCAUGCACGAGAUCCUGCAGGCCGUCUUCGCCCGCCUGCCGGACAUCCGCGACGACGCUGAGGACGACAUGUCCGUCACCUCCGCGGCAGGCUUCGGCCCGCGGUGCAUGGUUGAUGUCUUCAACUUCCUCUGCUCGCUGCUCCUCAAUGCCCCCGACAUGGUGAUGACGCCCGAGGGGCACGGCGCGUUCACCUCCGAGGAGGACGUGCAGCUCUUCGCCCUGGUGCUGCUCAACUCGGCCGUGGAGCUCGGCGGCGAGGCCAUUGGCAAGCAUCCCAAGCUCUUGCGCCUCAUCCAGGAUGAUCUUUUCUACCACUUGAUCUACUACGCCACGGAGUGCAGCCCUCUGGUCCUCUCCAUGAUCUGCAGCACGGUUCUCAACCUGUACAACUUCUUGCGCAGGUUCCUCAAGCUCCAGCUGGAAGCAUUCUUCAUGUAUGUGAUACUCCGAGUUGGCAGCGGUGCGAGCGGGAUGCAGCUGCAGGAGGUGGCGAUCGAGGGGCUCAUCAGCUUUUGCCGGCAGCCAACCUUCGUGAUCGAGAUGUACGUCAACUAUGACUGCGACCCGCUGAUGCGCAAUGUCUUCGAAGAGGUCGGCAAGCUGCUCUGCAAGGCGGCGUACCCGCUGUCGAACCCGAUGACGACCGUUCAGCUCCAGGCGUUCGAGGGCCUCGUCAACAUGAUCACCACCAUCGCCGACAACGUGGAGGUGGAGAAGGCCCCGGACCAGGAGGCGUACAACGUGGAGAUCUCCGAGUACCGGCUGUUCUGGCUGGAGCGGUGGGACUCGAGCGACGACCAUGGCCACGAGACCUGGGUGGACUUCGUCCGCAAGCGCAAGCUCAAGAAGAAGAAGGUGGCCAUCGCCGCCAACCACUACAACCGCGACGAGAAGAAGGGCGUCGAGUUCCUCAAGCUGUGCCACCUGGUGCCCACCCCGCCGGACCCCAAGAGCAUGGCCUACUUCCUGCGCUACUCGCCGGGCCUCGACAAGGUCAAGAUCGGGGAGUUCCUCGGCGACCCGGACGAGUUCAACCUCAAAGUGCUCAAGGAGUUCACCGACACCUUUGACUUCAACGGCUCCAUCCUCGACACCGCGCUCCGCACCUACCUCGAGUCGUUCCGGUUGCCCGGAGAGUCGCAGAAGAUACAGCGCGUUCUUGAGCACUUCUCGGAGCGCUUCUACGAGCAGCAAACGCAGGAGGUGUUCGCGACAAAGGACGCCGCCUUCAUCCUCUGCUACUCCGUCAUCAUGCUCAACACCGAUCUGCACAACCCCCAGGUGAAGAAGAAAAUGUCAGAGGAUGACUUCAUCAGGAACAACCGCGCCAUCAACUCCGGCAAGGACCUUCCCAGGGAGUACCUGUCCGAGCUCUUCCACUCCAUUGCGGUGAACGCCAUCACCAUGUUCAGCCAGGGCGCCACCAACGUCGAGAUGACCACCAGCCGGUGGGCAGACAUCGUCAAGCGGUCGCGCUCCAUCGAGCCCUUCACCCCUUGCGACUUCAAGCACAAGCUCAGCCGUGAGGUGUUCAUUGCCGUCUCCGGUCCGGCCGUCGCGACGUUGGCCGCCAUAUUCGACUACACGGACGACGAGGAGAUCCUGAACCAGUGCGUGGAGGGCUUGAUCUCCGUGGCGCGCAUUGCACGCUACGGGCUGGAGGACGUGCUUGACGAGCUCCUCUGCUGCCUCUGCAAGUUCACGACGCUGCUGAACCCCUACGCCACCACGGAGGAGACCAUCUUCACUUUCAGCAAUGAGCUCAAGCCGAGGAUGUCAACACUGGCUCUCUUCACCAUCGCCAACAGGUUCGGCGAGUCGGUGCGAGGCGCUUGGAAGAACAUCGUCGACUGCCUGCUCAAGCUCAAGCGGCUCAGGCUGCUACCCCAGUCGGUGGUCGAACAGGACGGCAGCGUGUCCAGCCGUUUAGGCCCUCGCCCCAAGUCAGAUUCAGCCGCCAUUUUCCCCUCGUCGCACCGUGGCGCCGGGACAAGCCGACAUGUGUCCGGCAUGAUCGGCCGGUUCUCGCAGUUCCUGUCUCUCGACGGCUGUGGCGAGUCGCUGCUCUGCGUCGGCAACGAGUUCGAGAACAACCUCAAGAUCAUCCAGCAAUGCCAGAUCGGCAGCAUGUUCACGGAGAGCGGGAAGCUGCCUGACGAGUCGCUGCAGAACCUUGGGCGGGCGCUUAUCUUUGCGGCCGGUGGCAAGGGCCAGAAAUUCAGCACCCCGAUCGAGGAAGAGGAGACCGUGGGCUUCUGCUGGGAUCUCAUCUUGCUCGUCUCCCUGGCCAACCUUCAUCGCUUCGCGUCCUUCUGGCAGCACAUGCACGACUGCUUCACGGCCGUGUCCAUGCUGCCGCUCUUCUCGCCGUGCCCUUUCGCGGAGAAGGCCAUCGUAGUGCUCUUCAAGGUCGCCGUGAAGCUGCUCCCGGGACAGGCCACCCCCGACCGCCUCGCCGAGGAGCUCAUCUGCAAGUCGGUCAACCUGAUGUGGAAGCUUGACAAGGAGAUCCUCGACACGUGCUGCGAGGGCAUCUCGGAGUGCAUCGUGAAGCUGAUCAUGGAGCACGCCGGGAGCGUGCAGACGCCGCUCGGGUGGAAGACGCUGCUGCAUCUGCUGUCCGUCACCGGCCGCCACCCGGAGACCUUCGACCAGUCUGUGGCCGCGAUGAUCAAGCUGAUGAGCGACGGGGCGCACAUCUCGCGGUUCAACUACGCGGCCUGCAUCGAGGCGGCCUUCGGUUUCGCCGCGCUCAAGAUCAGCCCCCUCGAGAUUAGCACCAAGAUCCUGGAGCUGAUGGCCGAGUCCGUGAACUGGCUCGUGCAGUGGCACAAGUCCGGCUACUCUGACCCGGGGAGCAGCAACAGCUUGUCGUCGGUGGAGGACGCGUCGCGCAUGGGCAACCUGGCGACCAACAUGUUCAUCAAGCUGGCGGAGACGCUGCGCAAGACGAGCCUGGUGCGGCGGGAGGAGAUCCGCAACCAGGCCGUGACGGACCUCGGCCGGAGCUUCGCGCUGGCCGCGGCGGGGGACCUGGACUUCGGCCCUGCGGGCUGCCUGGCCUGCUUCAACCUCGUCAUCUUCGCCAUGGUGGACGACCUGCACGAGAAGACGCUCGAGUACUCCCGGCGGGAGGGCGCGGAGCGCGAGACGCGGAGCAUGGAGGGCACGCUCGCCGCGGCGACAGAGCUGCUGGCCGACGUCUUCGUGCUCUUCCUGGGGACGCUGGCGCAGGGGCCGGGCUUCCGGACCUUCUGGCUCGGCGUGCUGCGUCGGCUGGACACGUGCAUCAAGUCCGACCUGGCGGCCGGCGGCGGCGCCGGCGUGAUGCAGGAGCUGGUGCCUCGGAUGCUCAAGAGGAUGAUCGUCGAGAUGAAGAACAAGGAGGUGCUGGUGCAGAGAGACGGAGACGAGCUCUGGGAGAUCACCCACAUCCAGAUCCAGUGGAUUGCACCUGCCGUCAAGGAAGAGCUGUUCCCCGAGUAG
rnacentral:rRNA from 1 species